UGUCAUGUUUACCUAUAUUACAUGAUAGUACCUGCUCUAUGUUUAAAAUAAAUGGCCGCAGUAUCUUGACUGUGCGAAGGUAGCAUAAUUAAUUGCCUUGUAAUUGAAGGCUUGUUUGAAUGGUUUGACGUGGUAAGAAUAAACAUCUUGAAAUUUCUUGAAAUUAAUAUAGAGGGCACAGAAUCCUCUUAGUUUAAUUAGACGGAAAGACCCCAGGAUCUUGAAUUUUGUUUGGGGCAAAUAGCAGUGCUUUACUUUUAUUAAGACCCGUUUAGUUUAAUGAGUAAGUUACCCUGGGGAUAACAGUGUAAUAGUUUAUUAGAGAUCCUAUCGAAUAAACUGUUUGCCACCUCGAUGUUGACUUAGGUAAAUAAGCUAGGCGCAGUAGUUUAGUUUUAUGGUCUGUUCGACCACGUAUACCUCC
rnacentral:rRNA from 1 species